AAUGGGUACAAGAAUACAGGUAGAAUGAAUAAGAUCUAGUAUUUGACAACACAACAGGGUGACCACAGUCAGCAAUAAUUUACUAUACAUUUAAAAAUAACAGAAAGAAGGCCGGGCACAGC